GUGCCAGCCGCCGCGGUAAUACCGGCGCCUCAAGUGGUAGUCGCUUUUAUUGGGCCUAAAACGUCCGUAGCCGGUCUGAUACAUUCGUGGGUAAAUCAACCAGCUUAACUGGUUGAAUUCUGCGAGGACGGUCAGACUUGGGACCGGGAGAGGUGUGGGGUACGCUCAGGGUAGGGGUAAAAUCCUGUCAUCCUGAGCGGACCACCUGUUGCGAAGGCGCCACACUAGAACAGAUCCGACGGUCAGGGACGAAGCCUAGGGGCACGAACCGGAUUAGAUACCCGGGUAGUCCUAGGUGUAAACGCUGUGGACUUGAUGUUGGGGGUGCUCCGAGCACUCUCAGUGUCGAAGCGAAGGUGAUAAGUCCACUGCCUGGGGAGUACGGUCGCAAGGCUGAAACUUAAAGGAAUUGGCGGGGGAGCACUGCAACGGGAGGAGCGUGCGGUUUAAUUGGAUUCAACGCCGGAAAACUUACCAGGGCCGACUGUUAGAUGAAGACCAGCGUAAUGAGCUUGUCGGAUUUUCAGAGAGGUGGUGCAUGGCCGUCGUCAGUUCGUACUGUAAAGCGUUCUGUUAAGUCAGAUAACGAACGAGACCCUCAUCUCUAUUUGCUACCCGUCUCUCCGGAGGCGGCGCACUAUAGGGAGACCGCUGGUGUUAAACCAGAGGAAGGCGAGGGCAACGACAGGUCAGUAUGCCCCGAAUGUCCUGGGCUACACGCGCGCUACAAAGGACGGGACAAUGGGAAGCCAGGCCGAGAGGCCGAGCUACCCCGAAACCCGUUCAUAGUUCGGAUCGUGGGCUGUAACUCGCCCACGUGAAGCUGGAUUCCGUAGUAAUCGUGUUUCAAUAUAGCACGGUGAAUAUGCCCCUGCUCCUUGCACUCACCGCCCGUC
rnacentral:rRNA from 1 species